rnacentral:rRNA from 1 species
GACGAACGCUGGCGGCGGGCUUAACACAUGCCAGUCGAACGGAAAGGCGCUGCUAGCGUUGGGGGUUCGAGUGGCGAACGGGCGAGUAACGCGCGAGUACCCUGCCUACGACUUUGGGAUAACUUCAGGAAACUGGGGCUAAUACCGAAUAGGUGAUCCUGCUGCAUGGUGGGGCUUGGUUAUUUUCGGUGGUUGGGUAUGGACUCGCGGCUUAUCUGCUUGUUGGGUGGGUUGUGGCUUAGCAAGGCGUUGACGGGUAGCCGGACUGAGAGGGUGACCGGCCACAGUGGGCGAGAGAUACGGGCGGGAGUCGUACGGGAGGCAGCGGUAGGGAAUAUUGCACGAUGCGCGGAAGCCUGGUGCAGGAACACCGCGUGCGGGAUGAUGGCCUUCUGGUAGUAAGCCGCUUUCGCCUGUAACGAUGCGUAGGUGACGGUAAUGGGUAAAGAAGCACCGGCUAACUACGUG